GACGAACGCUGGCGGCGUGCCUAAUACAUGCAAGUAGAACGCUGAAGAGAGGAGCUUGCUCUUCUUGGAUGAGUUGCGAACGGGUGAGUAACGCGUAGGUAACCUGCCUUGUAGCGGGGGAUAACUAUUGGAAACGAUAGCUAAUACCGCAUAACAAUGGAUGACACAUGUCAUUUAUUUGAAAGGGGCAAUUGCUCCACUACAAGAUGGACCUGCGUUGUAUUAGCUAGUAGGUGAGGUAAUGGCUCACCUAGGCGACGAUACAUAGCCGACCUGAGAGGGGGGUCGGCCAAGCUGGGACUGAGACACGGCCCAGACUCCUACGGGAGGCAGCAGUAGGGAAUCUUCGGCAAUGGGGGCAACCCUGACCGAGCAACGCCGCGGGAGUGAAGAAGGGUUUCGGAUCGUAAAGCUCUGUUGUAAGUCAAGAACGGGUGUGAGAGUGGAAAGUUCACACUGUGACGGUAGCUUACCAGAAAGGGACGGCUAACUACGUG
rnacentral:rRNA from 1 species